rnacentral:rRNA from 1 species
CCAGACUCCUACGGGAGGCAGUAGUGGGGAAUAUUGCACAAUGGGGGAAACCCUGAUGCAGCAACGCCGCGUGAGUGAAGAAGUAUUUCGGUAUGUAAAGCUCUAUCAGCAGGGAAGAAGAAGGACGGUACCUGACUAAGAAGCCCCGGCUAACUACGUGCCAGCAGCCGCGGUAAUACGUAGGGGGCGAGCGUUAUCCGGAUUUACUGGGUGUAAAGGGAGCGUAGACGGUUUUUCAAGUCUGAAGUGAAAGCCCGCGGCUCAACUGCGGAACGGCUUUGGAAACUGAGGGACUAGAGUGCUGGAGGGGCAGGCGGAAUUCCUGGUGUAGCGGUGAAAUGCGUAGAUAUUAGGAGGAACACCAGUGGCGAAGGCGGCUUACUGGACUGUAACUGACGUUGAGGCUCGAAAGCGUGGGGAGCAAACAGGAUUAGAUACCCGCGUA